rnacentral:misc_RNA from 1 species
GAUGAAGAACGUAGCGAAAUGCGAUAAGUAAUGUGAAUUGCAGAAUUCAGUGAAUCAUCGAAUCUUUGAACGCACAUUGCGCCCGCCAGUAUUCUGGCGGGCAUGCCUGUCUGAGCGUCAUUUCAACCCUCAUGCCCCUAGGGCGUGGCGUUGGGGAUCGGCCAAAGCCCGCGAGGGACGGCCGGCCCCUAAAUCUAGUGGCGGACCCGUCGUGGCCUCCUCUGCGAAGUAGUGAUAUUCCGCAUCGGAGAGCGACGAGCCCCUGCCGUUAAACCCCCAACUUUCCAAGGUUGACCUCAGAUCAGGUAGGAAUACCCGCUGAACUUAAGCAUAUCAAUAAGCGGAGGA